UAUGAUUAUAUUAUUGACGGGCCAAGAAUAAAUAUAAAGCCCAGUAAAGAUUAAUUAACAAGUCCAAGUAGGAAACUCGCUAAGCUCUAAAGCUGAAAUGAUAAGCCUUUUAAGUUAAAGGCCCAUUAAUGAGAUCUUUUCAAAGAAAGAUCUGGAAUCCUGGAGAACAUCGCAGGCUGACCUCAGUGAGAGCCUCUUGAAGCAGACGCAGCGAAAUCCAUCUUCCAUUGCAAGACUGUGAGCAAGCGCUGGGUAUUCUCUCUCACCUCUCCUGAUUUUGCUCUUCGUGUACGGAUUCCAAUUCCCUCUACUGUCAUUCUGAAUCCGGAUAGGUUUAAUAAGGAAGUAAUCGGGCUUGUCUUCCUCAACUCGGAUUUGCGAAAAUUGGGCUUUGAUUUGAGAAAAUUGGGCUUUGAUAGUUUGAUAGUAUUCCAUAUCACAUAGGAACUAAAGGUCACUGGCCCUCAACAUUUUAAAGCCCAAAGCAUGUCAAUCACCUAUCCCUUUUCAGUUUUCCUAAUAAACUGCGUCGUUUUGCUCCCGGCGCAAAAUCUUCGCUUCACAGAUCUCUACUUCGCUCUAUGCUUCUGCUGCUACUUUCCUCUGUUUCCCAUCCUCAUGUAUCUCUCACUCACUUACCAAUUCAGACCUUCGUCUCCAAUUUCAUGCUCCUUCAACCCCCGAAAACCCCUCACAGCACCACCAGCAAGGGACCUAGUCAUAGACUUCGGCAAAUACAAAGGCAAAAUGUUAGGCACUCUCCCUUCAACUUACCUCAAAUGGAUCUCAAACAACCUCCGCGCCCGCGAUUUCGAGCACUGGGCAAAUCUCGCCGAUCAAGUCCUUCAAGACCCCGUUUACAAGGACAGGAUCGAAUGGGAGUUCGCCGACAAUAUUUUGCGUGGAAAAGACUACAAGAACAACGCGAAUGAGAGCGCGGACGCUUCGUUGUCUGAGAUUAGCGAGAGGUUUGGGUGGGACAAUGGAGAUAAGAUUGGUUGGAGAAAGGUUAAUUUCGAGCUUUUGGGGACGAGUAAUGGUGGAAGGAUACCUAGGAAGGUAUCGUCUGCUACUAAUUGUGAUAGCGAGAGUGUGGAAGAAGAGAGAGUGAAGAGAGAGAAAGUUAGGGUUUUGUCUGUGAGUGAAGAGAGGAGGAGAGGGAGGAGGGAGAGGAUGAGAUCGAAGAAGAGAGAGGAGACCGUCGGGAUGGAGGACAAAAUGGGAAUUAUAGAAGAAAAGAAGGGUAAAAUUGAGAAUGGAGUUGAUGGUGAUAAGAGUCGGACGGUGGAGAUUUACGAGAACCCAUUUCCUGGACGUGAAGGACUGGUGAAGGAGGUGCUUCGCAGGAGAAAAUUCAUAUAGUUUUAGGGUUUUGUUUUAAAUCUAACAUUUAUGUAUGUAUUUUUCACUGAUAGUGAAUAAAAGUAUAAAACGUUUAUGUCCAGCAUUAAUGCCUUUUUAACAGUUUAAAGUUUUAAACUGGAAACUACGGUCUUCGCUUUCGUCAUUCUUCUUCACAACGCCACUACAGAAGCAAAAUCUCCGUUCCACCCCCCCCCCCUCUCAGCCUCAGACUUCCAAUGACAGCCAAUGGUGAGAUUGAGUCUUUGACAUCGGUUCAUGAUUUGUUUGCAAAGCUUCCUGACCAUCUUCAUAUUGAAAUCUUCCUCCGGGUUCCCAUCUCAGACUGGGCUCACAUAUCAUGUGUUAAACUGCAGUGGGCCAAUCUGUUCCGCAAAGAGUGCUUCUGGCAAGCAGCUCUUACGAGGAGCUUUCCUCUUGCUGGCCAAGAUAAACGAUGGCCAGGACCUAUCCCUCGAGGGUUGAGCAAACGGAGAUAUGUGGCUUUGUAUGUUAGUAAACACAUGUUUUCUCUGGAUGGUGAGAUUGAUGAGAUUGUGGGCCAUUCUUAUCUGUUUCUGAAAGAGCAACUUCAACAUUCGACAAUACCACCAUCUUCUGCGAUACUUCAUGGAACUAUAAUUGAUCAAUUUAUUUCUUGUGGCAAAUCAAGAGAUAUGGCUCACGAGCUUGCUUCACAGAUCUGGUUAGCGGUCCUUGACAGUUUGGAGGAAAAUGAACAGACAUUUUUCUUACUUAAGAGUUUUGCUCUGGAAGAGGAUAUCUUUCUCCCAUACCCGUACUCGAGGUCCAUCAAAGUUCAAUGGAGGGUGUUUGACAAGCUUUUUACCGACUUCCGUGAUUGUUUCACUCAUAUGGAUUACUAUGAUGCAUUGGCGUGUGCAAAGAACAAGUUUCAGCCAAUACCAUCUGCAUGGUUAGGUUACUAGUACUCUCUUCCUUGUAUGGAUUUCCAGAUCUACUAUUGUAAUUAAGCACCCAAAGUCAAGUGUUAAAAAAAAA